UCGUGCUAGGCGGGGAGUUAGCGGUGCCCUGUAUUCGCAAACCGCUCUAGCGAGGCUGAAUUCCUAUCAUAGGUGCGUAAGAAAUUACCUCUUUCAGUUUGUAUAGGUGUUGAUAGUCGGGUCCUGCGCGGCGAGAGCCUGCGAACUCCGUCAGGUUCGGAAGAAAGCAGCGGUAAACAGAUACUCUCGGGUGCCGUAGGGAAGCCUGGUUAGAGCCAUGCCAAUUGUAUAUGUUGUUUCCUCACAUCAAAGAAAGGUGCACGG
rnacentral:SRP_RNA from 1 species